CCUACGGGUGGCAGCAGUGGGGGAUAUUUCACAAUGGGGGAAACCCUGAUGCUGCGACGCCGCGUGAGCGAGUAAGUAUUUCGGUAUGUAAAGCCCUGUCAGCAGGGAAGAAGAAUGACGGUAUCUGACGAAGAAGCACCGGCCAAAUACGAUCCAGCGGCCCCGGUAAUACGUAUGGUGAAAGCGGUAUCCGGAUUUACUGGGUGUAAAGGGAGCGCAGCCGGUUCUGCAAGUCUGAUGUGAAAGCCCGGGGCGCAACCGCCGGACUGAAUUGGAAAAUGCGGGACUGGAGUGUCGGAGGGGUAAGCGGAAUACCUGGUGGAGCGGUGAAAUGCGUAGAUAGCAAGAGGAACACCGGUGGCGAAGGCGGCUUACUGGACGAUGACUGACGCGGAGGCUCGAAAGCGUGGGGAGCAAACAGGAUUAGAUACCCGGGUAGUC
rnacentral:rRNA from 1 species